UACAGAGGGGGCAAGCGUUAUUCGGAAUUAUUGGGCGUAAAGUGUGCGCAGGCGGCUUCGCAAGUCGAGUGUGAAAUCCCCGAGCUUAACUUGGGAAUUGCGCUCGAAACUACGGAGCUGGAGUGUGGCAGAGGAAGGUGGAAUUCCCAGUGUAGCGGUGAAAUGCGUAGAUAUUGGGAGGAACACCAGUGGCGAAGGCGGCUCACUGGACCGGUACUGACGCUGAUGCGCGAAAGCGUGGGGAGCAAACGGGG
rnacentral:rRNA from 1 species